rnacentral:piRNA from 1 species
AGUGAAGAGAACCUAACUCGACUGAGA